ensembl:lncRNA
UUCAUUUGCUAUUACAGUUAUUAACUAAAUCAUCACAAGAGGAAGGCAGAAUAGGUGGUGGAGUAUUGUUUAUACACUCAAUUCUUCAUAAUGCGUUCAGUAUUACCCUGUGCUGUGGGCAACAAGGUAGUUAAACACAGUGGUGAUCAGAUAAAGCAACCUGGUAAUUACCAGGUCCAGCAGAAAGCCCCUUGGUAAUUACCAGGUCCAGCAGAAAGCCCCUUGGUAAUAACCAGGUCCAGCAGAAAGCCCCUUGGUAAUAACCAGGUCCAGCAGAAAGCCCCUUGGUUAAUAACCAGGUCCACUAGAAAGCCCCUUGGUAAUAACCAGGUCCAGAGUAUGACUGUAGUUUUGGCUGGGCCCAGUAACAUGUUGGAUAAAGUUCAUAGAGCUCAAAAGAUUCAUACAUUCAAUGGUCUUGGAGUCAGUCUCUUUGUCAACAUGACUAUUAAAAUCGCCCAACACAAUGAUUUGAUC